rnacentral:rRNA from 1 species
UACGGAGGGUGCAAGCGUUAUCCGGAUUUACUGGGUUUAAAGGGUGUGUAGGCGGACUUUUAAGUCAGCGGUGAAAUCUCCGGGCUCAACCCGGAAACUGCCAUUGAUACUAUUAGUCUUGAAUAUUGUUGAGGUAGGCGGAACGGGUCAUGUAGCGGUGAAAUGCAUAGAUAUGACCCGGAACACCGAUUGCGAAGGCAGCCUACUAAGCAAUUGUUGACGCUGAGGCACGAAAGCGUGGGGAUCAAACAGG